UACACUCGUCCUGCUUCUCACAAAAUAGGUCUGAAGUCUUAUAUACAGUCUAUGGUUGAGAUGCAGACUGCACACGUCUUUUAAUUAUACUUCUGCUAAUAAUAAUGUGAGUAUGAGUGUGACUUUAUUACUACUUAUAUGAUAACUACUAUAUACAUCCCUUCUUUAUUUCCUGUACUUAAAGUUUAUUGUCAGCUUUAUACAAGUUUUGUACAAUUAAAGGUAAUUUUUCAGCUUCUUUCUACGUUUCCUACAAAUGUGUUUUAUUUGUAUAUGUGCAGGACAAAUAUACGACCCUAACGCUUAGCCAGCAGGUGACCAGUUUUUAAAGUUGUGCUGACAUUCGGCUUAUUGACACAGACACGCACGCAAGCGUGCACACGCAAGUAAAUAAACAUUCUUUGGCAGCAUAAUACCGUCAUGUGUUUUCAAGUGUCACAUUUCCGAGUGUUCCUGAAUGUCUCAAAGACGUCAACUGUGUGUCUGUGUGAACCCACGGUAUUCUGUGUCAGACUCUGCUCAGGUAAGUCGAUGCACAGUCUCUGUUAAUGUCCAGACACUACAAAUGAGGAUUUAACGUUUCUACAUGACACUGGUUUGAGUUAUAUUCGAUUAAGAGGAUGUGAGAGGUCGAGAUAUUGACUUGAAAAUGCGUAAAGUACAUAUGAUACUGUUAAACUAUAUGACGCUAAAGCUAUUAGCGUCGAGCUAACGCUAAAGCUAACAACAUACUACUAAUAAGGCUGAGUCAUGUGCUUGCUGAAAUACACAAUAUUGACUCAAUAUGUGAGCUGGCGUCAUGUUAUACACCGUGCCAGCUAAUAUUUACUUUAUAAAGUUCAUCAAUGUGACGGGGUGUAUUGCUAUUGAAGAGCAUUUGUUAAUGGGAGACGAUUGUGUCUGUAGCGCCGUUGCUAAAGGUAACACACUGUUGAUUACUGUUACUCUGUCAUAUUAACAGCUGGGUAAUUGACACGGGGAUGUUAGCUGUUAAGCUCCUGAUUACUUUCUAUCAAUUUUGUAGAUGUUUUUGCUAAUAUAGGUUAUCUUUACCAAGCACCUAGUUGUAACACAUUUGAAAUUAUAUUUUUUUAUGUGUUAAAAUUAUACAACAUGCUCUUCUAUUUAUUGAGGGGGUUAUUCAUGAUGGUAAUGAUACAGAUAUUUACAAUGUCAAACAUCACAUUAUCUACAUAUGUGUUCUACAACCACAAGUUCAAAUGAAUAUUGAUUUAAUGGAUGGGUUGUAAGCUGCCUUGAAACUUGUGAACCACCUUCUCCUCUGUUUUUGCUUCAGUAGCUGAUGCUGAAAUUUAUCUACUACUGUACCAUACGUUUACUUUAUAUGAGUUUGAAAUACUUCAUAAAAGGUGUUCUGUGACAUUUUAAGCUGCAGCUAACAGUGAGGUGAUGUUUUAGAGCUGUUUCAUUUUCUAUUACUAUUAUGACUGUAAUAAUGUUGCUUUUCUCAUAGGCCUGCUGUUUUAAUGAACUAUGUAUCUGACAGAUAGCACUAAUGUAUUGUUUUUUGUCUCAAACAAACAGAAGAUUAUACCACUCCCGUGCGUUUAUUGGUAAGUACAAGUGUUAUUACCAAAAGUCACAUAAUACUCUAAAAAUUAGCUGGAUAAAUGUUUUGCUUUAUCCUGGUAAACAAGAACUCAUGAAACAUAUAUUUCAACAGAUGAUGCAUCUAAUAAAGACUGACUUUAAUUAGAUAUUAAAUGUUGAUCUUUCUGUAUCACUACUGCAUAUCCUAUAAUAUAUAUAUAUAUAUAUGUACAUAUAUAUAUAUAUAUAUAUAUAUAUAUAUAUAUACAUAUAUAUAUGGGAUACAUUUUUUCCUGGUGGACAACUGUGUUAACAAUAUUACCACACAACUACAUUUGUUUAUUCAAAACAUUUGAACUUGCUGGGAAAGUGUGACUUGAUUUUCAUAAUAAUGAUGAGGGAAAAUCUUUUGGGAAAAUGAGUGAAUGAAGUGAGCUGUGAGGUUGUUUGUUGUAAAGAGUAUUAAAUAUCUGUUUUUCUCCCUCAUUCCCUCCUCCUGCAUUGUGUUUUCCUCUGACCUUUGCCAAACCCACCUUUGAACUCUAAAGCGUAAUUUCACAGUUAUAUCCACUUAAGUUAUCACUGUAAUGUCAUAUUAUUUAUCUGCAGUCUGUAAUGACAAUUUACUGUUUGGAUUUCAUCUUAAUUAUAGACAUAAGAGAGUAAAUAGUGAAAAGGCUUUUUCAUUGUGUAUGACAUGUUUUCUACAUUUUAAGCUUCAUGUUUUUCAGGCCAAGGUUGCUUCACUAUAAUCUUUCCAAUAAUUAUGUGGUAUAAUACAUGAACUUGGAUAAGAAAUGACAAAACUAAUGAUUGUCAAUGAAAAAUGGUUGUGCCUCCAAUUAAGUAUGACAUAAUGAUUGUUUGGCAACUACAUUUACAUUUACAUUUUCUUUCUCAAUAAUUUCACUGCUUCUGAAAUUGGCUAUUCUAUCUCUUUAAUGCAGACCAUUGCGGCCAACUCAGCUGAAAGUUCACUAACACAAAUACAUGUUAAUGUGUGAAUACUGUUACUGUUUACAACACAUUAUGUAAAACCCUACAUCAUGUCAUAAUUUCACGAACUGCUGCAUCUUUUUACUGAAUUGUAACGUUAACCAUUUAAAACUUUGCUUUAUCUUAAGUUAAGCUGAAACAAAUGUUAAUACUUUUGCUGCUUGUUAACAAUUGAACGUAUAUUAUAGUGUAAUGUUUCCUUUUUUGACAAUUAAACUCUAAAUGUUUCAUCUCUAUUUUUCCAUUUCCCCCCUUAGUGACUCCACCUUGUGUUUAACUGCAGACCGCUUGCCAGUCAGUGUAAGUUUAUACAUGAAUGACAUUUUUAUGAAUAUGACUGUGUGCCUUUAUUGUACACAUUUUACACACACCUCUCUUUCUGUACUUUCUACACAAUUGAGGUUACUUUCAUACACAUAAUAUUUGAUCACAUGCUUAUGAACAUUAUUAUUAAGGCAAUUAACAUUGAAUUAUAUCACCAUUCAAGAUAAGUGGGUGAUGCAUCUUUUCGUAAAAUACACUGAGGUCGUACAUACAUUUCUUCAUCUAUUUAGUAACAUUUUAGAUGUUCAGUCCUGAUACAUUUUUGAAAAGAUGAUCAAAUAACAUAAUGCUCAGUUUCAGCAUUUGACUCAACUAGACUUUGAAUAGAUGUGUAGUCAAAAUUGCCAUAUGUUACUUUGAACGAAAGCACAUUAUAAUGACAUUAGUUUUGGGUGAAUGUCGGUUGAUUUAAAUGUAUUUAUUAUAUUUCAUACAAAUAAUUAAUAUUUAUUUCCAUUUUUCUUACAGAUAUCCUGUACUGUCCCUCCACUCUCUCCUAUCAUUUUGGACAUUCUGCCUUUCUAUCUCUCCUCUAUCCAACUCUGACUAUUUGAACAGCUAUUGCCAGCCUUUACAACCUAUUUUGAAAGCCUUUACCACAGCCUUUGACAGCCUUUAAAAACCGUUGUGAAAGCCUUUAAGAAAGGCUUUAACUGCCUUUGACAGCCUUUCUACCACUUUUAGAGCCUUAAAAACGGGCAUUCAGACACUUUGAGAACACUUUUUGGAAACAAGCUUAUUUUUUUCAACUGAUCGCGUGUAAAAGCAAUACUUUUGAAACAGCAAAAUCUUUGAAACAGCUUACUUUUAAAACAACUACUGUUCUGAAAAAGCACUAAUUUUGCACAAGUGUUAUUGUUCUUGUAGUUCUUCCUUUCCUGUCUGUUGCUCUACAGUUUCACCUGAAGAAGUUUCAUCACCAUCACCGCUCCUGCCUCAUUCAUUUUGAGUUCGAAAAAUACACCUUUAUUAUUUUUGACUUGAAUUUUAUUUUAACAAAAAAGUCCUGACAUCUAAACAUUUGUUAUUGAUUUGUGUUUCUGUUAAAUAAAGUAGUUUCUGAAAACAAUAAAGCAUUUCUGUCCACUCUGGUGUAAUUAAUAAUUGGACAUUGUUGUAUAAAAUCAUUGUUGUCAAAGGAUAGCUACAAUGCCUAGGAAAAGUAAGAGGUCACAGGCUGCAAGUGAGCGCUGGCAGAACAGACGUGACAUUGAUUGUGUAACUACUGAACAAGCAGAUUGUGCUCCUCAGAUCAGUGCAGAGACAAGGAAGGCUAUGGUAUCUGAUGUUAACACUGUGAACCAGGGAGGUCAAAGUGCAUCAUGUUUAUCACAGGUGUCUAAUGCAGAUGUGCCUAAAAGGAAUGUAUAUGAACCUCACAUAGCAGGCCCGUCUGAUUGUGGACCGAUAAAGCACAGAAGUCAAAGCAAUGAUCCAGAUGUACAACAGGUAACAAAUGCAAACAUGUUGAAAAGAAAAGUUGCUAGUGUUGAGUCAUGUUCCACUCAGGUAUCGUAUGGAGACAUUGGAAAGAACUGUAGUGAUGUAAAUGUAUCAGGCUCUUCUCGACAUGAAAAUGUAAACACUGCAUACCAGUCAGGAGAACAAAGUGUGUGUGCCUCACGCAGUCAAGCAUCUCUGAAAUAUAGACGAUUCAGAAACAAGCAGUGCACCUGUAACUCACUGACAUUUCUAGCAUUCCUGUAUGAGAAUGAAAACAUCACCAGAGCAGACCUAGACCGUGUUUUGGAUAAAGGCAAUGUGAUGUAUAAACAAGUCAGAAAAACAGUUCGUGAUCACAUCCAUCUCACAACUGAUGAGCUCCCUAAUCGGGUACCUGCACGUAAUCACACGCAGAGAGUUGACAAGUUACAGCUGUCUAGAUACGGUACGUUUGGAGAUCCGGAUCCCGGAGCUGUUGAUACCUUUCUGGACCUCGAGAUGGGACUGAGCUGCUUAUUAUCAGAUGUGCAGUAUGCUUUGCUGCUGAUGGCGUCACUGUGCAUUGCAGUUUUCAGGACCAGAAAUGGCAGAUAUGGUUUCUUUGACCCACAUGCUAGGACACCUCAUGGUUUGCCUCGACUCCAGCCUACAAGUACUCCUGGCACUGCAGUCAUGGUCACAUUUACACGACUCAGUGACAUGAUUCACAGGUUGAUCAGUUAUCACCACAUAUUGUUGACCCCAGAGUCCUGUAAGUAUGAGCUCAAACCAGUCGUGUUUUAUGAUGUGAACCCAAUUGAUGCUAUCCCAGCCACAGAAGGUAUGUCUACAAGUUCCUCUGUAACAACCACUGUGAUAAAUGAUGACACAAGUACUCCACAGAUGAACAUUGAUAUCCAUGAAAACACUGAGCAUGACAUGGAAACUGAACAGGAACAACUGAUGGAGUUCACCCAGUGUUCUGUCACAUUAACUGGACCUAAAUCUCUUGCUCCACAGAUUACCACUACUGUAACUGAUGACUCUCAUGACCGCUCAACCCUGAUAGAAACACAAGCACAUCGACCUGAGCAAAUCAGCGAUAACGCUUUGAAAUCACAGCAAAUUCAGGAGACACAAUCAAAUUUCACACAACCAUUAAUAAAUAUCCCUGUCACCAGUGACAAUGUCCUCAAUGAGAUCUCCAGUAAGCUGUCAAAACGGAACAAAGCAGAAAAGAAAAAAAUUCUGAGGAGAGUAAUGACACCUGACAAGACACCACAAAAGAAAGACAAUCAAAAAAGGAAAGAGAGAGAAAAGUAUGCAAAGGAUGAAACUUAUAAAGCAAAGAAAAAAUGUUAUUCAAUGAGCAAAUAUUCUGUCGAUCCUGAAAUACAGACAAAGAAAAGAAAAAAGAUCACAAGUAAAUACAGAGAAAGCACAGACUUCAGAUUUAGGCAAAAAUUAUACAUGACAACAAAAUACAGAGAAAAUGUGGAUUUUAAAGACAGACAAAAAAAAUAUAUCACCAAAAAAUACAGAGAAAAUGUGGAUUUUAAAGACAAACAAAAAAAAUAUAUCACCAAAAAAUACAGAGAAAAUGUGGAUUUUAAAGACAGCCAAAAAAGAUAUAUCACCAAAAAAUACAGAGAAAAUGUGGAUUUUAAAGACAGCCAAAAAAGAUAUAUCACCAAAAAAUACAGAGAAAAUGUGGAUUUUAAAGACAGCCAAAAAAGAUAUAUCACCAAAAAAUACAGAGAAAAUGUGGAUUUUAAAGACAGACAAAAAAAAUAUAUCAGCAAAAAAUACAGAGAAAAUGUGGAUUUUAAAGACAGCCAAAAAAGAUAUAUCACCAAAAAAUACAGAGAAAAUGUGGAUUUUAAAGACAGACAAAAAAAAUAUAUCACCAAAAAAUACACAGAAAAUGUGGAUUUUAAAGACAGACAAAAAAAAUAUAUCACCAAAAAAUACAGAGAAAAUGUGCAUUUUAAAGACAGACAAAAACAAUAUAUCACUACAAAAUACAAAGAAAAUGUUGCUUUUAAAGCCAGACAAAAACAAUAUAUCACUACAAAAUACUCAGAAAAUGUUGCUUUUAAAACCAGACAAAAAGAAUAUAUCAGGAAAAAAUACUCAGAGGAUGUAAAUUUCCGGCAAAGACAGCGAUCCUUUAUGCAUCAUCGAUAUGCAAAUGAUAUAUUCCGCCACCAACACAGACAGCUGAUGAGGCGAAUGAUGCGAGACAGGUACAAGAAAAAUCUUGCAUACAGGACUAUGCAUAAAACCAGAUGUGCAUUGAAAAUAUCACAGAAAUAUAAAGCCAUAAGUCAACGAACACGUCAGACUGACAGAGAGAGUGAAAACCCACUUAUUGAAAGUGCCAUCAGUGAUUUCCGAUCACACAUUAAAGCUGGUCCCACCCAUGUUUGCACAGUUUGUCACAAAGCCUCAUUUCCAAACCAGGUGCAAAAGUGCAAAAGGUCCAACUAUAUGAAAAAUCCAAUCAUGGUUUCAGCUUGUCUAAAAGGUCAGUACGUCCAUGAGUGUAAUGAUAACUGCAGAAAUCAGUGCACUGUCCCUGAUGAGAGGAAGACUGAGUGGAUUUGUCACACCUGCCAUAACCAUCUGAAAAAUGGAUCCAUGCCCAAACUUGCCAUAGCAAACAACUUGGAGCUUGCUGACAUACCACCUGAGCUGUGUGACCUCAACAUACUGGAGAGACAUCUGAUAGCAAAGUGCAUAACAUUUGCCAAAAUCAUUCCUCUUCCCAAAGGCAGACAGAGAGCUAUACAUGGCAAUGUUGUAUGUGUUCCCUCUGAAGUCCAGGAGACAAUUCAGGCUCUACCAAGAUUGAGAAAUGAGUCUCAGGUGAUGAGAGUAAAACUGAAGAGACGUUUGAGUUACAGAGGUCACCAUCUGUUUCAGACUGUUACCUGGUCCAAGCUAGUGCAAGCUCUGCAUAAACUGAAAGAGAUACACCCCCAGUAUGAAGACAUAACUAUCAGAGAUGAGGAGGAGUUAUGUGACCCCACACUUCCUGAUGAUGGUGAUGAGGAUGAAGACGAUGGUAAUGAUAUUACAAUGAAUGAUGACGACUAUGACGAUGACGAUUUGAUGGAGAUUGAUAGAAUUGAGGCUGCUGCCAUGCAUGACGUUGAAACUAAUGUUGAAAAUGACGAUGAGAACACAGACCUGUGUGAUAAAAGUCAGACCCAGGACAAUGAUGAUCAGACACAACAACAGGACGCAGACAUGCAUAAUGGUGGUGUUGUUUUGGAGUCGUGCCUUCAGCCACGGGAUGUUUCUGAGGAGAUAUUGUGUUUCAGUGACUCAACAUACUCAGUAGCUCCAGCAGAGAGAAACAGUCCAGUCAGUUUUUUCAAAAUACCCAAACUAGAGGCCAUGGCGUUCCCUGUUCAGUUUCCCACUGGUGAGAAUACACUGGAUGAAAACAGACCCAUGAAACUAUCACCCAGUAGUUAUUUCAAAGCAAGGCUCUUUGGUGUUGAUGAUCGCUUUGCCAAAGAUACCAACUACCUGUUCUUUGCACAGUUUGUGACUGAAAUACACUUGGCUACCUCCAGCAUGUCAAUACAGUUACGCAAAGGCAAACCUUUGACCAGAGAUGGACGAAAAAUAACAUCCAAGAUGUUGAGAGAAAAACUUGAAGUGGAGAGACUGGUGAGAAACAGAGAUGCUAUCAGAUUUAUGCAGCCGCUCAGAGGAACACCAGCCUACUGGGACAAAACUACAAAAGAUCUGUUUGCUAUGAUCAGACAGCUGGGCAGUCCUACUUUCUUUGUCACAUUUUCUGCAGCAGAAAUGCGUUGGCCUGAGGUGAUUAUUGCAAUAAAAUUACAACAAGGUGAGGAAGUGAAUUUUGAGGAGCUUGACUGGUCCACAAAGUGUGACAUUCUGAGAAGCAAUCCUGUGACAACGAUGCGCAUGUUUGAUAAGCGUGUUGAAGCACUGUACAGAGAUCUGAUCAUGUCUCCUGCACAACCCCUGGGCAAAGUUUUUGACUUCUUUUGGCGCCUCGAGUUUCAGCACAGAGGAAGUCCUCACAUUCAUGGUCUUUUGUGGGUAGAAGGUGCACCUGUGUUUGAGAGAGACUCUGAUAAAACUGUGUGUGACUUUGUGUCCAAACACAUCUCUGCUCAGCUCCCUGACCCAAAUAAACAGCCUGAACUCUACAAAAAGGUCAAAGAAGUGCAAAUACACAGUAAGAACCACUCAAAGACAUGUUUCAAAAGUGCAAGUUCAGGAUGCCGUUUUGGAUUCCCAAAACCACCCUCCAGACAGACAAUGAUAACAAGACCUGUGGAUGACGAUGAGGAGUCAGAGAGACUAAAGACAGCCAAAGAGAAACUUGCACCGCUAAAUCAGCUGCUGAAUAAACCUGAAACUGAAUCCAUGAGUUUUCAACAGCUCCUGUCUGUCUGUGACUUAACCGCUGAUGAGUAUGAGAAACACAUGAAUGUGAUGAGUCAGUCCAGCAACAUCAUUCUGAAGCGUGAGCCAAAAGACUGCUGGGUAAACACCUACAACCCUCACCUGCUCAAAGCUUGGGAUGCAAACAUUGAUGUGCAGUUUAUUCUCACAUACUACAGUCUGAUCCAUUACAUAUGUACAUACAUGUGUAAAAGUGAGAACUCUGUGAGCCAGUACCUGCAAACACUCAUUCAGAACUCCGACAGAGAAUGUGUCAAUGAAUGUGAUGAAAUGAAAGCGGUCAUGCAGGCGUAUUCCAAAAACGAGAAGUAUCAGCACAAGAAGCUGUUGCCCGAGUGACUUCCCUGAACAUGAAAAAGAGUUCACGCAGUGUGGUUUUUGUCCCAACUGAUGACAACCCAGUGAAAAUGAGUCUGCCUGUGUCAAGCCUUGACAACACUACACCAGACAGCUUGAAUGUGUGGAUGACAUCCUUAACAGACAAGUACAAAUCCAGACCUGAAUCACCAGAGUUUGAAGAGAUGUGCAUGGCUGAUUUUGCUUCAACCUGCAGACUGGUGUAUGGACAACAGACCAAGGGCAAGAAAGUGGUACCUUUGCUGAAUGAACUAGGCUUCAUACAGAGACGAGAAAGUGACAACGCUGCUGUCAUCAGGUAUCGCCGCAUAUCCAAAGAGAAAUACCCUGAGCAGUUUUACGGCACAUUGCUUAGACUGUAUCUUCCAUACAGAUCAGACGAUGAGCUGAAGAGACCAUAUCUACCCACGUAUGAGUCAUUCUAUGAGAGAGGUGUGGUUCAGCUGCCGUAUUCUGACCGACCCCUGCGUGUGAAACUCAUUGUGAAAAGAAACAGAGAGAGAUAUGAAAAAAACAGUGAGGAAAUUGACUCUGCUCUGGAGGACUUUGAACAAAACAAAGGUAUUGUCGAUGAAUGGUGUAAUUUGGCACCUGAAUCUGAACUGGUGAGGUUGGAGUGUAUUGAUGAACUGGAUGCAAGACACUGUGAUGAUGAAAAUGUCCAAGAGGAUGUACCUGAUUACAGUAGACAAGCAAAUGCUGCUACAGAAGCCAGAGUCAUGAGAGAGCCCCCUACAAUCGAUCCCACACGGUUACGACAAAUGUAUCAGAGUCUGAACCAGAAACAGGCAUGUGUGUUCUAUGCAGUGAGAGACUGGUGCAUAAAAUGAGUCUGUGGACUACAACCAGAGCAGUUUUUCUACUACAUUGAUGGUGGUGCUGGCACUGGAAAGUCACAUCUCAUUAAAUGCAUUCAUUCAGAAGCAUCAAAGAUUCUGAGAACACUACCUAGACGUGCUGAGGAAGCUGACAUCUCAAACCCGACUGUGCUGUUGACUGCUUUCACUGGAACUGCAGCCUUUAACAUCUCUGGAACAACACUGCACUCUCUUCUCAAGUUGCCCAGAAGUUUGAAACCUCCUUUUCAAGGUCUUGGGAACCAACUUGAUGAAAUCAGGUGUGAGCUUUUAAAUGCUGAAAUCAUCAUCAUUGAUGAAAUCUCCAUGGUGUCGAAGCCUCUGUUUGCCUAUGUGGAUGUGAGACUGAAACAGAUUAAAGGCAGCCACAAACCCUUUGGAGGAAUGUCAGUCAUUGCUGUGGGAGACUUUUACCAGCUACCGCCUGUGCGACAGUCCAAACCACUCUGUGUCUAUGAUCCAAGUGAACUUGACCUCUGGAGAGACAACUUCCAGAUGAUCACUUUAGAUGAGAUCAUGCGACAGAAGGAUGACAAAACUUUUGCUGAGAUGCUGAACAGACUUCGUGUGAAAACAAGGUCAGAUGAGCUUUCUGAAGCUGACAGAGCUCUGCUGUCACAGCGUGUCACUGAACCACAACUGUGUCCCUCUGAUGUCCUGCACAUUUUUGCUACAAACAAACAAGUCGCAGCACACAACUCUGCUACACUAUCUCAGCACCAUUCUGAUAUCACCACCAUUGAUGCAGAUGACUUUAAAAAAGACCCACAGACUGGACACAUGAAAAGACAAGGUGCACCAUGUCAUGGAAGCAGAAAUGAUCUACCUGACACACUAGAUGUUGCAGUAGGUGCUAGAGUCAUGCUCAUCAGAAACAUUGAUGUGUCUCAAGGAUUGGUGAAUGGAUCAUUUGCUACAGUAGGCCGUCUCAUAAGCUCUGAAAACAAUGGUUCUGCUCUUGUCACUAUGCUUGGACUUACGAUGGAUGAUGAAACAGCUGGCAGGAGCUAUCGUACAAGAGGAGACAAUCUUGUGUACAUCGAGAGAUCUGAGGAGGCUCUAAAACAGAGAGGAGUGGUACGCAGACAGUUUCCUGUAAAACUUGCCUUUGCAUGCACGAUCCACAAGGUUCAAGGUAUGACCAGAAAAUCUGCUGUUGUCUCACUGAAGCACAUUUUUGAGCCCGGCAUGGCCUACGUAGCUAUCAGUCGAGUGACCUCUCUCAGCGGACUGCACAUGCUUGAUUUGGAUGACAGUAAAAUCUAUGCUAACCCUGCAGUCACUUUAUCUUUAGAGACCAUGAGGCAAGCUAACUUUGAUCACAUCAUGCCUUUUCUCCAGAUCCAGCAUUCUCUCUGCAGACAGGACACUGUGAGCAUCAUUCAUCACAACACCGAAGGAUUACCUGCUCAUGUGAAUGACACCAAAAGCCAUCAUGAACUGUGUCUUGCAGAUGUUUUGUGUCUGACAGAAACUCACCUACAGGGCUCCUUUGUGGCAGACAGUCUCCAGUUUGAGGGCUACACCAUGUUCAAACGCAACAGACAUUUGUCCUACACUAACUUUCCACAGAUGGCCAGUAAAGGAGGUGGUGGAGUUGCUGUUUAUGUGAAAAACCAUUUGCAGGUUGUGGAGAAGCAGUACCUGAAUAAUGUGACUGACCUUGAGUUUGUGGCUUUGAAGGUUGAAUCUCCUGUAAGUGCUCUGAUUGCAGCUGUGUACAGACCUCCAGACUACAGUGUGCCAUCAUUCCUGUCCAAUCUGGGAAGCCUUCUGGACUCACUUGAGAUCAUGGACUGUCAUCCUAUCAUUGUCUGUGGCGACUUCAAUGAGAAUCUCUUUUCUAAUGCAAGUAAGCCAAUUUUGGAUUUCUUUCAGUCCAAGGGAUAUGGUCAACUGAUCACUGCUGCUACAACGGACAAGAACACACUGCUGGACCUGAUUUUCAUCUCACAACCUCAGCUAUGUCUCUCCUCAGGUAUUGUGCAGACGUACUACAGUUACCACAAUGCAACUUACUGUGUUAUUUCAUCCAACAGGUCAUAGAGGAAACUGCUCUUAAGGAAAAGACAAACUACAGCAGCUGUGGCUAAUGUAAUGCCAUAGUUUCAGUACAGAUUGAAAUGUGUUCGGUGAUUGUAAAUUUUACUACUGCAAAAAAUAUUUUUAUGGCUCAGAAUUUUUCGAAAGAAAAUAUUUUUCAGCUUGUAAAAUUUUCCAACUAUUCAAAUGUUAUAAAUUACAAUUUUUGGCCUGUGCAUUUAUCAAGUCCAGUCAAGUCAAGUUAAUCCAUUUAACUUGACUUGACUGGACAUAGGGAGGGUGGGUGCGGAUUGAUCAAUGCACAGGCCAAAACUCUCAGCUGCUGUGUACAAUAAUGUAUACAGCAGCUAAAAUUAAAAACCUCCAUCAGAAAGUGUGUGUUCCCUAAUGAACACACACUUUCUGAUGUUCUGUGACCUACCAGCUGAAACCCCCCUUUUCUCCACCCAACUUUACACCACUCUCUUAGCAUUGGUGGCUGUUAGUACACUAGAGCAAACAUAAGUUUCCUUUUGUUUGGGUAUUUUUUUCUUCUUCUUCAGUUGUCUCUGCCAUCUUUCACCUGACCAUUAGUGCUGUCCUGACUAGCUCACUGUGAGGAGAAAAAAAUUAUCAAACCGUCAACCAGAAGUAAACACAUCACUUUGGACAACUCAAAGACACAGUCUACCUGCUGUUUAACCCAGUCUUUGGUCGGAGGUGAAGAAGAGAUGACAUCCUCCACACCAUCCCUCUGCUGCUCUCAACAACCAUCACCCGCUGUGCUGGACAGACUGCAGCACCCACCAGGACCCUUCUCUCAUGGACUACACAAACAUGUGUUUUACCUGAUCGUGCUCCAGAUGUCCUGAAGCAGCUCUCAAUGACCACCAGACACCAGACUGAAGCACAACUGAUGCUGUAGUACCUGUCACUCACUGGGCUCGUUCCUGCUGAACCUCCAAGAGAUAAACCCCUCUUCAAGAAAGUCUGAGGUAAUGUCUUAGUGAACUUGUGUUCAUUUAUUUUUUCUGUUAUCUUAGCUGCUGUAUUAAUGCUUGUGACGCUAUUGUACAGCUCUGCUGAUAUCAUCGUCUUUAACAGCAGUGUUUUCUCCCAGGUCUUCUUCAAGCCAGUUAAGAAAGGAAGAACAGCUUAGACACUCAGGCAGCUGAACUCACCAAAGGUGGACAUCAUGCAGCCACCCUACGCCUUGAGCCUCCCUGUGUGAGGAAGCUUUGCUGCUGCAGACCUGGUGAAGUGGCUCUGGACAGAAAUAUUUUUUGCUCUGCUGCAGUGCUGAAGGUAUUCAUUGUAAUGAUGUGUGUAUUUAUUCAAUAUGUUUAGUUUCACAGAUUAUCAACACAAAUGUUUCUGUUUAUUUCCUGUUUUCAACCAGCUACAUUCUCCUACUUCAAGUCACUGUCUGUUCAUCCACGGUGUAGCUAGUGCAGCUAACUAAUAGGUGAUCCUACAAGUCCUGCAGUCCUGUGAAGCAAGCUGCAGCAGAUGUCAUCACAUUCAGAUCAUCAGUUCAUCUCUACUGCAGCUUUAAACUGUCCCUGAGGUAACGGUGUAUUUCCUUGCCCCAUAACAAUAACCAUGUUUGACAAACAUAGAAAAGCACAGUAUUACUGUUAGCACAUGAUUUUUGUUUGGAUUACAAAGUUCAAGUGAAGAGGAUUUUGUUUGUUUUUUUCAGGCCUCUCCUACUCCUGCCUCUGACUCCAGUCAUGCUGUCACCUUAAACACUGAUAACUGCACACGGCGAUUCUACAACCACAGGUCAAAGGUCAAAACAUUACCUUCACUCUGAACUGUACCGGCCUCUGCUUUUGGUUUUGAAAAAAAGUGCCCAGACAGAACACAGUACACACUUGAGGAACUGACUGAUUGUCUUCAGGACAGGACAACUUUUACUCUUAUAUUGUUUUGAAUCCUGUUUUCUACAUUAAGUGAUCGGUUGUCGGUAUCUGUUAAUAUUUUAAGUUUCCUUUAUGUUUCUUGGACUUUAUUUGUUCUAUUUUAUUUGAGUAUUGUCUUUCCCUUUUACUGUGUAUCUGUCCUUAUAUCAAAAGAUGACCAACACUGAUGAAGGGAAAAAAUACCAGUUACUUCAGUUGUUGCAGGCAGCUGAAUUUCUCAUUUUAAUAUGCUCACCAUAUCCCUCAAAUUUACCUACAAGAGAAGACAUGUUUUUAGAAAUAAAUGAUUUACUUGGGGUUUCAGCUGGUAGGUACACUGCAGGUUUUUCACGUGUGCUUAGUCUUGGGCUAAUGUCUUGGACAGCAGUGAUCCCAGCAUUAUAGUGUGAAACAAUCCCUGCUGAAGGUUGUCGUCACAAUCAUCAAACACAGGGCUUGGUCAAACGAGCUGUGUGAAUGGAUUUCAUAGAGGAACAAAGUUUUUAUGCUUAUCCUUAAAAUGUAAUUCUCCAUAGUAGAUAAGUUUUUUAAAAGAAACUAUCAACGUGAAGACAACCCAGCAUUUCAGUAAGACAAGUAGUGUGAAUGUUUGGAUAAGAAAACACUGGGAUCUAAAAUGCUGACCAGAUUAUCAGUCCACUGCAAUGAGCUGAUGACAGUACUAGCCUUGGUCUAACUAUUGUGAAAAGCCUUUUGGGUGGUAAGGUGGACCAAUACAUGCUAUAAAAAAUACUUCAGUGCCAUAUUUAAGUUGUUAACCUUUCACCUUUGCCUGUAUAUUUCCGCAAGCCUGGAUGACUUUGCAUCUUUUGCAUUUGCAUUCUUUACCUUACCCUCCACAUUAGUUCUCAAAUCUACUUUUUCAUCUGAUCCUUUAGAUUUUAGAUUUAAAGUUUCAGUUUCAUAUCAUUUCAUUUUGUUUAUUAUAAUUAUUUAUUAUUCUAUAAUUUUCUUUUUUUCUACAAGAGAGAGCCCACAUUUCACUACAGUUAGCUUUAAAAAAUACUAUAAUGCCAUAUUUAAUUCAUAAGCCUUACACCUUACUUUGCCUGUAUAUUUCCACAAGCCUGGAUAACUUUGCAUUAUUUGCAUUUGCAUUCUUUACCUUACCCUUCACAUUAUUUUACUAUUAUUAUUAUACUAUUCCUCUUGUUCCAUUUUAUACUUUUUGUAUUCACAUUUAUGUUGUUAUACUGCUGACCGAUUGUAGUAACUAUUUUUUUAUAACUCUCAAGUCACCAUUUUCAUAUAUUUUUUUAUGUAUAGGUAUAAAGGUUUUUCAGAUGUGCAAACUUAGUCUUAGGCUAAUCUAAACCCUUAAAAACACACAUAACAGUCCUGUAUCAGACUUUGAAAUCAAAUUGCAAGGUCUGUUUUUAAAGCCCACAACACAGGACUUGGCUUAAUGGGCCAUGACAAAUUUUACGAGCCAACUUUUGUUAAGGCUUAGUAAUCCGAAAACACAAGAAAAGAGGUGAAUGUGGGUACAGGGCUGCUGGAGUUUGAAUCCAGUAAAUAAUGGGGUGUUAGCCUCAGUCUAACAACUGUGUGAAGAGCCUUUAAUGAUUGGGCUAAACUAUUUUAGAAACAACUGAAAAUGUGAUACCUUUGUCCAUCAACAAUCACAGCAACUACAAUCUUAAAACCUUAAGCUUAAGAGACAGAUUGGUCACCCAUGUAAAGAUUUCUGCUUCCAAUACCUGUUCACAAACAAAUUGUUUAUAAUUUUCAUUUAAGGCACUAUGGAACACUGUUUCUUUAUGUGUUUAUGUUUUUAUUUUUUUAUUAUUAUUAUUAUUUUAAUGUUUUAUCAUUAAUCAUUUCAUUGCUAAAAAAAUGUUUAAGGAUUGACAAAAUUAUUUUUCUUAAACAUAAAUAUUUAAAUUAAACAUAUUUGUGUAAUGUGUUCAUUUCUCAUCUACAUUCAUUUCUAAUUCUUCAAACAUGAAGGCCUUUUCAGCCAUCUUUAAAAUUCUUUACCAUAUUUUCUGUAAUGUUCAAGUUCAGUUCUUCCCAGUGUUUUUACAUCCAUACAACUCAUCUCUUUUUCAUCAUCUUCUUCUUCAGUUCUGUUACGGUUGAAACAUUCAUACGACUUCUUAUAACACUUCACCCCUUUAACAGUUUUUUCAUUUAUACCUUCUCCAUUUAUUACUGACAGUUUAGCAUUGCUUUUUCGUCUUUCAGCACUCAGCAUUUCCACGCAUUUUCUGCAAGGAAAUGCAAUUUUUCUAGUUAAGUGGAAAUGCUGACACAGCAUUUCCACUUAUUGUUAUUCUACUAUUUCUUUAUUAUUAUUAUUAUUAUUUUUAUUAUUUUUAUUAUUAUUCUUCCGUACCUUUUUUGGCCCUUUUCAACUCCUUACCACUUUGUGCUAUUUUAACCAUUCAAACUUUAUACUAAUGCACUCCUUCAGGACAUUAUUGCUAUUACUUUUCACCUUUCUACCAUUUAUACUUUUUGCAAUAUUUCACUUUUUCUGCAAAAUUUGUUCCAUUACAAAUGAAUGGAGAUACAGCUAUAACACCUUCUCACCCUUAUAACUUCUGCAUACUUUCACCUACAGACCUCAUUUUUGCUUUAAAAUGUUCAGCAACGUGUCUGCUACAAAUGUUGUAUUCACUCCUUUUUGCUAUUUCCUACCGUUUUUGCACAAUUUCGCUUGGAGCAACAUGAAGUCUUCUGCCUUUUUCAGCCUGACUCACGCUACAGCGUGUGACGUCAGAUGUUACGUCACCGCUAGAUGCGGCCGGAGCCUUUUGGAUUCAGUAGACCAAGCGUGUUUAUUUUGCUGCCGCGGCCGCAAGUUUCACUCCACAGCCAUAAAAAACACAUCAAAAUGGAGGUACACUGGUCCUGCUUCUCACAAAAUACUCAUAAAAAAGUCAUCAAAUUGUACAGCUUGCCCAGGAGCUGAGUAUAUACCACCGGAGUGCAGCGAUGCUGCCCUUCGACUCCCAUGUUAAAUUCCGGCCAAGAAACCCUGACAAUUACUACAUACAAGCCGUGUUUUAACUCGCUGUUGUUGCCACAUUUUUUACACUAUUGGCAUGAAAAAUACAGUAUUGUCAGUAUAACAGUGUCAGGAUUCCCAAGAUGUUCUUAUUUUUUGGGAUACCACUUAAAGAAAUUGUGCUAGGUGAAGAAGUUUACACGGUUUCUACUUCAUUCUCGAUAGUAGCACUUGUCAUUGGCAGUGUGCUUUGCUCACAAGAGUCAGGCACGGCCGCGCGCACACACUGGAUCCGUGUGUGGACUGCUGUCUUUCUGUUUAUAGGAGGUACACCCGUAAUACUUACUAUGUUCCUAUAGUUUUGGUGUUUAAUUGUUGUAACAUACAAACUACUUCUUAUUCCUCUACUUCUGCUUCUCUUUACAGUCUACAUUUAUAUAAUUACUUUAACUUUAGCUCUUUAAUAUUUUGUACAAUCGUAUGUAGUGCAGUAACUGAAGCAUGCUACUAGAUGAUGCUGUUAUGCCUUAACAACUUACUAUGUUGACAUGCAGACUGCACACGUCUUUUCAUUAUACUUCUGCUAAUAAUAAUGUCAGUAUGAGUGUCACUUUAUUACUACUUAUAUGAUAACUACUAUAUAUAUCCCUUCUUUAUUUCCUGUACUUAAAGUUUAUUGUCAGCUUUAUACAACUUUUGUACAAUUAAAGGUAAUUUUUCAGCUUCUUUGUACGUUUCCUACAAAUGUCUUUUAUUUGUAUAUGUGCAGGACAAAUAUCCGACUCUAACGCUAAGCCAGCAGGUGACCAGUUUUCAAAGUUCUGCUGAAAUUGGGCUUAUUGACACAGACACGCAUGCAAGCGUGCACACGCAAGUAAAUAAACAUUCUUUGGCAGCAUAAUACCGUAAUGUGUUUUCAACACUGACAUGUCCGAGUGUUCCUGAAUGUCUCAAAGACGUCAACUGUGUGUCUGUGUGAACCCACGGUAUUCUGUGUCAGACUCUGCUCAGGUAAGUCGAUGCACAGUCUCUGUUAACGUCCAGACACUACAAAUGAGAAUUUCACGUUUCUACAUGACACUGGUUUGACUUAUAUUUCAUUAAGAGGAUGUGAGUGGUUGAGAUAUUGACUUGAAAAUGCGUACAAUACAUAUGAUACUGUUGAACAAUAUAACGCUAAAGCUAUUAGCGUCGAGCUAACGCUAAAGCUAACAGCAUAGGCUACUGUUAAUAAGGCUGAGUCAUGUGCUUGCUGAAAUACACAAUAUUGACUCAAUUUGUGAGCUGCCGUCAUGUUAUACACCGUGCCAGUUAAUAUUUACUUUAAAAAGUUCAUUAAUGUUGGUAGCGAUGGGGAUACUGCUAUUGUAAAGCAUUUGUUAAUGGGAGACGAUUGUGACGGUACCGCCGUUGCUAAAGGUAACAGACUGUUGAUUACUGUUACUUUGUCAUAUUAACAGUUGGGUCAUUGACACGGGGAUGUUAGCUGUUAAGCUCCUGAUUACUUUCUAUCAAUUUUGUAGAUAUUUUUGCUAAUACAGGUUAUCUUUACCAAGCACCUAGUUGUAACACAUUUGAAAUUAUAUUUUUUAUGUGUUAAAAUAAUACAACAUGCUGUUCUAAUUAUUGAGAGGGUUGUUCAUGAUGGUAAUGAUAUAGAUAUUUGCAAUGUCAAACAUCACAUUAUCGACAUAUAUGCUCUACAACCACAAGUUCAAAUACAUAUACAUUUAAUGGAUGGGUUGUAAGCUGCCUUGAAGCUUGUGAACCAGCUCCUCCUCUGUAUUUGCUUCAGUAGCUGCUCCUGAAAUUUAUGUACUACUGUACCGUAUGUUACCUUUAUAUGAGUUUGAAAUAAUUCAUAAAAUGUAUUCUGUGACAUUUUAAGCUGUAGCUAACAGUGAGGUGAUGUUUUAGAGCUGUUUCAUUUUCUAUUACUAUUAUGACUAAUAAUGUUGCUUUUCUCAUAGGCCUGCUGUUUUAAUGUACUAUGUAUCUGAAGAUAGCAUUAAUGUAUUGUUUUUUGUCUCAAACAAACAGAAGAUUAUACCACUCCCGUGCGUUUAUUGGUAAGUAGAAGUGUUAUUACCAAAAGUGACAUCGUACUCUAAAAAUUAGCUGGAUGAAUGUUUUGCUUUAUCCUGGUAAACAAGAACUCAUGAGACAUAUAUUUCAACAGAUGAUGCAUCUAAUAAAGACUGACUUUAAUUACAUAUUAAAUGUUGAUCUUUCUCUAUCACUACUGCAUAUCUCCUAUUAUACAUAUAUAUAUAUAUAUAUAUAUAUUGGAUACAUUUUUUCCUGGUGGACAACUGUGUUAACAAUGUUACCACACAACUACAUUUGUUUAUUCAAAACAUUUCAACUUGCUGGGAAAGUGUGACUUCAUUUUCAUAAUAAUGAUGAGGGAAAAUCAUUUGGGAAAAUGAGUGAAUGAAGUGAGCUGUGAGGCUGUUUAUUUUAAAGAGUAUUAAAUAUCUGUUUUCUACAUUUUAAGCUUCAUGUUUUUCAGGCCAAGGUUGCUUCACUAUAAUCUUUCCAGUCAUUAUGUGGUAUAAAACAUGAACUUGGAUUAGAAAUUACAAAACUAAUGAUUGUCAAUGAAAAAUGGUUGUGCCAUCAAUUAAGUAUGACAUAAUGAUUGUUUUGCAACUACAUUUACAUUUUCCUCCUCUAUAAUUUCACUGCUUCUGAAAUUGGCUAUUCUAUCUCUUUAAUGCAGACCAUUGUGGCCAACUCAGCUGAAAGUUCACUAACACAAAUACAUGUUAAUGUGUGAAUAAAUUUUUUUUACAACACAUUAUGUAAAACUGUACAUCAUGUCAUAAUUUCACAAACUGCUGCAUCUUUUCACUGAAUUGUAACAUUACCCAUUUCAAACUAUGCCUUAUCUUAAGUCAAGCUGAACCUAAUGUUAAUACGUUUGCUGCUUGAUAACAAUUGAAUGUUUAUUACAGUGUCAUGUUUUGUUUUUUGACAAUGAAACUCUAAAUGUUUCAUCUGUAUUUUUCCAUUUCCCCUCCUAGUGACUCUACCUUGUGUUUAAGUGCAGACCGCUUGCCAGUCAGUGUAAGUUUAUACAUGAAUGACAUUUUUAUGAAUAUCACUGUGUGCUUUUAUUGUACACAUUUUACACACACCUCUCUUUCUGUAGUUUCUACACAAUUGAGGUUACUUUCGUACACAUGAUAUUUCAUCACAUGCUUAUGAACAUUAUUAUUAAGGCAAUUAACAUUGAUUUAUAUAAGCAUUCAAGAUAAGUGGGUGAUACAUCUUUUCGUAAAAUACACUGAGCUCGUACAUACAUUUCUUCAUCUAUUUAGUAACAUUUUAUAUGUUCAGCCCUGAUACAUUUUUCAAAAGAUGAUCAAAUAACAAUGCUCAGUUUCAGCAUUUGACUCAACUACACUUUGAAUAGAUGUGUAUUCAGAAUUCCCAUAUGUUACUUUGAAUGAAAGCACAUUAUAAUGACAUUAGUUUCGGGUGAAUGUCGGUUGAUUUCAAUGUUUUUAUUAUAUUUCAUACAAAUUAUUAAUAUUUAUUUCCAUUUUUCUUACAGAUAUCCUGUACUGUCCCUCCACUCUCUCCUAUCAUUUUGGACAUUCUGCCUUUCUAUCUCUCCUCUAUCCAACUCUGACUAUUUGAACAGCUAUUGCCAGCCUUUACAACCUAUUUUGAAAGCCUUUACCACAGCCUUUGACAGCCUUUAAAAACCGUUGUGAAAGCCUUUAAGAAAGGCUUUGACUGCCUUUGACAGCCUUUCUACCACUUUUAGAGCCUUAAAAAGAGGCAUUCAGACACUUUGAGAACACUUUUUGGAAACAAGCUUUUUUUUUCAACUGAUCGCGUGUAAAAGCAAUACUUUUGAAACAGCAAAAUCUUUGA
rnacentral:lncRNA from 1 species